GUUAGUUAGCAGAACAGGAAAGCGUUUCAACUUAUCUGAAUAAGACACUGCUCCGCGCAGGUCGAGGUAUCCGGGCCUCGGUAAAACUUAGUAUACCGCUGGAAGUCACGACUCUCUCGGUAAAUGCAUCCUCUCAGUACCAGAAAUGUAUAAAGAUGCUCAUUCGGUGCAAGGUAGUCAUCACUCGAGAUCAUGCAAGAAACCUCUUCAGCUUCGCUCCUCACUAACGCUCAGAUCCAUGCCGAGGGUCAGAACGCAAGCUCCAACCCACAACAUGGCAUACGCUUCUUUGACCUCACAGGUGUGGAGCAAGAAAAUGUACUUUUAACACCGUUGAACUACGGUUUUUUUGAUGGGAACGUUCUAUAAGAUAACGAAGGAGUCCUCAGAAGAACUUGAAGUGAAGCACACCUCCCUCAGUCGGGGAAAAGUUACAGAAAUCAUCUUUUUCUUUCGCCCGACGGCUGCAAAAUCCUUUUUGCAAAAUUAAGAUUGGUUUGCUUUUCUACAUUGAAACGUUUUACAACAUUUUUCUUUUAAAUGUGCAUACUGUUUGUUUUCAAAGGCUAUUUCUACCACAAAAUCCAAGAAUCAAACCCUUCCCAUGAUUACUGGCUCUUCUACAACCUAAUCCACGGCAAAAUAUUUACUAAUGUUUAUUGGAGUAAUCAUUUUUCUUAAAUCAUGAUUUUAUUCUUGUGUUUUUGCCCCCAAAAACAGCAAGCGGUCUAACCCAGACAGAAGGCUACAAAGAGAUGUGCAAUAACGAAAAGUAUCCCUCUUCAGCACACUGUGAAAAGGACAAAGACAUUUAUGUGUGAAAUGUUUGUCUCCCCUUUUUAGAUAAUUUCA